rnacentral:rRNA from 1 species
GACGAAGGGGGCUAGCGUUGUUCGGAAUUACUGGGCGUAAAGCGCGUGUAGGCGGUUGCCCAAGUCGGGGGUGAAAUCCUGGAGCUCAACUCCAGAACUGCCUUCGAUACUGGCGAUCUUGAGUCCGGAAGAGGUGAGUGGAACUCCUAGUGUAGAGGUGGAAUUCGUAGAUAUUAGGAAGAACACCAGUGGCGAAGGCGGCUCACUGGUCCGGUACUGACGCUGAGGUGCGAAAGCGUGGGGAGCAAACAGGG